rnacentral:misc_RNA from 1 species
UUGUAGCUGCCUGGCAGCCACCUUGUCCGCUUUUAAUGGAUAUAGAAAACAAAGCCUACAAUUAUCACAAAAUCCAUGCCAAAAGCUCCAUCAAUUUAUAACAAAAUUAAGAGAACACAACCAACAUGUUAAUUACCUAUUAAAUAUUAGUAGCUUAUGUGUACAAUUUCUCCUCCUUUUCACGGAGCUUUAACCCAAAACAAACAUAUGCUUACAGUUUCUCACCAAGUAUAGAGGAGGAGGAGAAAGAGGGAGAAGAAGGAAGGGGGGAGGGGGAGGGGAUGCAUAACCGUCACCACAACUUUUUGUCUCUGUUCUUGGAGUUUGUGUGUCGCUGAAGAUAUUAUGAUUUUCCUUCAUCUGU